rnacentral:ribozyme from 1 species
AAAAGAAAGCACGAACCGAAUAAAAGGGAACAAGAGGAACAAACAACACACACUUCUUUUCCACUUAAUUUCUCUUUCCUUCCUUUCCCUUUCAUUCAAUUAAAACACGCACUUCAUUUGUUUUUAAUUGAAAUGAAAGGGAAGGAGAAAGAAGGGAAAAGAACCAAAUUCCUCUUCUCUUUUCAUUUCGCUCAUUUAUAAUG